GACGGGACCGCACAGGCGGUGGAUGAUGUGGAUUAAUUCGAUGCAACGCGAAAAACCUUACCUACCCUUGACAUGCCACUAACGAAGUAGAGAUACAUUAGGUGCCCGUAAGGAAAGUGGACACAGGUGCUGCAUGGCUGUCGUCAGCUCGUGUCGUGAGAUGUUGGGUUAAGUCCCGCAACGAGCGCAACCCUUGUCUUUAGUUGCUACGCAAGAGCACUCUAAAGAGACUGCCGGUGACAAACCGGAGAAGGUGGGGAUGACGUCAAGUCCUCAUGGCCCUUAUGGGUAGGGCUUCACACGUCAUACAAUGGUGCAUACAGAGGGUUGCCAACCCGCGAGGGGGAGCUAAUCUCAGAAAAUGCAUCGUAGUCCGGAUCGUAGUCUGCAACUCGACUACGUGAAGCUGGAAUCGCUAGUAAUCGCGGAUCAGAAUGUCGCGGUGAAUACGUUCCCGGGUCUU
rnacentral:rRNA from 1 species